CUCUGCGGCGCGGAGGGUCAGUGGAAGGAAGGCUGCGGCGCUUUAGGCGCGCCAAUGUCGGGGAUUUGAGGUUGUUUCUAAGUCACAAUGCAAAUAUGUAACCAUACUCAACUCCAAAAGUGCCAGGUUUGGACCCCGACGAUGGAUGGCUUCUUGUUAAACUCACGCCAUGAGAAGCUGUGGAUCGAUUUCAAGAAAACCUAGCUGACGUUGAAGAAAUGAGAACAUGCUGGGAGCAUUUGAGAACAGUGUGACCUCUAAAGGGCAGGCGUGUCUGAACACUUCCAACCCCGCACACGGCUGGCAGAAUGGACACUCUCACCAGGACUUUCCCCUCCAAACAUAGACUGUUUUCUCUAGAAAAGAGGUAGUAUAUCUAUCAUUACAGAGGGCAAUUUGUAUGGUGGUAUUGUGUGUUCUUUUUUUUUUUUUUUUUUUUAGCAAAUACCAAAAUAAAAUUAUGUAAGAAAAUAUACUAGCUUGCAAAUCAAGGUUGCCUAGAAACGUUCUUCACUGACACACUGUGCCUCAGCAUUUUGGGAUAUGGUCAUUGAAAGUAGAAGAGUGUGCACUGUCUUUUACCACAGCUCCUUUGUCUUCAUUCCCUUUCCACGCCCCCAUUCUCUACUAUGAAAUUUAAGGCCCCCCACACAAAAGACAAGUUCAAGUAUGCAGGUAUGAAAAGACGUUAACAUUCUAAAAAUACAUUUUUUUUUGCAGACAGCAAUUAUAAUUGGAGCAAAUCACAGAGUAUUCAAAGUGGAACAAAUAAUUGUCUCAAUUCGUUUCAGACUUUAAAAUUCCUUCCCUUCAAGGAUGAAAUGAUGUAGUGAUUUGUAUAGUAACACAGUUGAGACUCUUUAGGAAAGACCAUGAGUCUAAUUGCUAACUAUUCCAAUCUUCUACCCAGUAGAGCCAUAUAAAGAUGGGAGAGAAUCACAGUUAUUUAUAAAUACUACUAUGUGUUGUUAAGUGUUAGCAUAAACAAGGUAACAGUGUUGAUUAUGAUAUUGUAGUCAUAUUAUAGUCUUGGAAAUAAGCCAAAAGACCAUAAGUAGCAUAUCUUCUUUUUCCAGGAACAUAUUUCCACAUUGUUUGCAUGAGUCUGCAUUAUUAUAUAUCAUAAAAACUCAUAGAAUUCUAACAUGGUCUAUUCUAUAAGUGAAAAUAGCCUCAAAUGAUAUAGAAAUAUUUCUCUUGCUUGUCAUCAUUUGCCAUUUUGAGUAAAAUGAAUUGAAGCAAAGUACUUGUGGAAUAGGCAUUUCCUAGAGGUUCUUGGUAUGCUUGGCAAAAAUAAAACAUUUUAUUUAGUAUAUAUCUGGAUUUUAGUCAUUUAUACAAGCAACUCUGAGCCUUUACAAAGAGAGGAGGAAUCUUAUCUCUUCGUCAUUUGAAGGAGAGAAGCUUACAGAAGGAAGAUGAAAGAUAUGCAAAAUUGAAGUGAAACGGUGAAUAUAUUCAUCAAGAAUAUAUAUCUUACCCUUUCCCAGCAUUGCUAGCUUUUUAAUAGAACUGCAAAGCAAAAUAGGUAUGGACUUUUGAUGGCAGAUGAUGGAUGAGUGUUGUGCACAAAUUACAUGGGCCUCCGUCUUCCAGCAUGACAUGGAAGAGCAAAAGAGGGGGGAGGGAGGAAAAGGCUGGAGAGGCUUCACAACCAAGUGACCCCUCAAAGUUGAAAGGAAAGGUAGCCUUGUUGACUAGGAAAUAUAUGUAAAUGCUGUUACAGCUACCCGCCAUAAAAUAGAAAUAUCUUAAAGUAGUUAAAUGACCAAAUUGCUAAUGCUACUGCAGAAAAAGCUGAACAGCAAUCUAUUCUAAAUUUAUACACCCAAGUGCACUCUCUGCAAUUAAAUGCUUUAAUGCGCACAAACAAGAAACCAGUAAAGCAUACAGGAAAAUGUUUGGCUAAUGUUUUCUUUCUCAUGCAAGUAUGUGCUAUACAUGUAAUAAAUAUAGUUUGUUUGCUGGAAAAUGCUCUUCUGUGUUCUAACGAAGUCUUCAGUAAUGGAAGAUUAUAUGCUUAUUAAAGAGCCCAAUGAAUACAGCUCUGUUAAAUGUCUUAACAGAAAAUUCUGUACGCCUCGAUGGAUGACACUCGGGCUUCACAAGCCUGUAUCAGAUGGUAGCUUGUCAAUUUUACUGAGCCCGUGUUUAAAUGUAUCAAAUGUUUGAGAUUACUUACAAAAUUUCAGGCAGCCUCAUUAUCAGAUAAGCAGGUUCAUAACGGGUUGCACAUACAGUCAAGACAGUGGUUUGGUGGGAUUCAAGAUAUGAAUAACUGAUUAAGAAUAUGAAACUUGGACUCUUGAUCAGGAAAACUAAUGAACUGGUACAUAGUUUUAGGGGCCCAUGUCUUGAAAUUUUUGGAGAAAAUUAACAUAAAAUUAAUUAUACUUGUUUUAAAAAUUGACUUCAAGGCAUUAGUAGAAAGACACUUUAUGUCUAGCUCAAAUUGGGUCUUUAGAAAACACAUGCAUGUGUCAUUUCAGAGGCAAGCCCUUUCAUAAAGACAUCUGUUUCAAAGGGUCAAUUUCAAUAAUUUCUUGGAUUAAAGCCUUCUUUAACAAUAUAGGACAUAGGUCACCAAUUCCAUAAAUACACUCAUUGGAAAUCUAAAGGCUGUUCACUAGCAAUGAAACCGAGCAGUCUCUAAACUCUCUCUAAUGGCAUGCAUUAAAACUGCCCUGCUUUUAGUGAAUAAAUAUAUUUUGAAUCUGUGAGGGUUUUUUUUUUCCUUCAAGAUUUUAAUUCAGUGUUUUAACGUUUCCUAAUUGUUUUGUAAAAACAUAACUUUCAGUACCUAAUUUGAUUAUGCCCAUGAAAAAUAAAAGAAGUGUGAUGUAGGGCCAAGACAUUUAUUCUAUCCAAAGUCAGAGACUGGCUGGACUGAGGGAUAGAUCCUCAGCUGGCUGAGCUGCUAAGCCGUGUCAGGGUGCAGCAGGAAGGACAGCUUCCCAUCCAGAGCCAAUCACAGCAGUAUCCCGGGAGCUCUGGCCACAUCUCUGCUGGCUGACUGCAGAGCUCCAGAUGUGUGUAGUUGUAUGCAGACCGACUACAGAAGAAACAACACCUCGUUCUCCAUUCCCCGGAACUGGGCGUGCUUGGGCUUCACUUUACUACUCUCAAAUAUCCCCCGGAUUUUGUCAACUUCAAACUGACUAACAGUACUGACUGAACAGAAGGCAAAAACACUUUGAAUACAACAGCUGUAUCAGGAAAAAUAAGAAUAUUAAAAUCUGAGGCGAUUAUAUAAUUUCUGCAUUAAGAUUUCUGAGAUUUUUUUUGGCACUAUCAAUAUAUUUGGUAAGUUUGAAAAGCCAUUCUGGCAGCAUUAACAUAUUAUUAAAAUGUUUAUACAUUCCAACUUGAAGUGUAAAUUUAGCUUCCAGCAAAUAAAUUCCACAGCUGGGU